AAGAACUUCCCUUCAUUAUCUACCUCCACUGCCAUUGCACAACACAAAGUUAUAAAGAGAACUUGAAAUUAAAUCCAAACACGACUACACUGAAUGAGGAAAUGUGAUCUUGGUAUAAUGUGACAGCAUCACAGGUCAUUACUGUACUCUUUCCUCCUCACUUGAGGUUUAAAUUCACAUUAAUAUUUUUCAUUUGUUAAAAACAAAAUUCAGAAUGAGGGGAUAUACAUGUAUGUACAUACAUGUACAACGAUUCACCCACUGUCUUCAUAAACUGACUAAUUUGUUGGAUGGGAUAAUUUGUUGAGGACUGGAUAUUGGUGAUGGACUGAGAUCAAAAGCACAAGAUGUUCAUUCAAUAAGGAAACUUAAUCUAUUUCUGUUAUAAAUUUUGCCUAUUUGUGGUUAUAUGCCACUCAGAAAACGUUCAGGAAGAAGUGAGGAAUUAACCAGACAUGUGUCACAUGUGACAGGAAGUUAUUGAUGCUGGUGACACACUGGCGUUUAUCAACAGAACCCACAUGUACAUAAAAAGUUAAUUAUUUUGCUGGUUUGCCAAUUAAAACUACAGUCAAAUGACAAAUAAUUGCUGGACAGGAUAUGUAUAUAUUACAUGUGUGUUUUGACUGGAUUCUCCUUAAUUGUACUCAAUAAGGAUUAAAGAGGCCCUUUUUAUGAAUUGUGAUUGGAUUAAACAUUUUCAUAAAAUGAGUUGUGUGUUCAAUUCUUUAUAAUUAACUUUCAGCGGUACAGCUUAUCAGUGCACAUUGAACCUUGACCUCACCAUAAUUCCCAUGAUUCCUGUGGCGACUGUGUCAGCGUCGACAAGACUUGGCGGGACGUCGGGGACGAGGGAUUCCUUGACGUACACAAGCAUCAUGAUCCCCACCAUGCGAAUCAAC